rnacentral:misc_RNA from 1 species
UUUCCGUAGGUGAACCUGCGGAAGGAUCAUUCAUAAUAAGUGUUUUAUGGCACUUUUUUAAAUCCAUAUCCACCUUGUGUGCUAUGUCAGGGUUGAUUUUUCUCUCGAGAGGAUCAACCCCAAACAUCAACUAUAUAUCAACUCUUUGUCUGAAAAAUAGUAUGAAUAAAACAAUUCAAAAUACAACUUUCAACAACGGAUCUCUUGGCUCUC